AACGAACGCUGGCGGCAUGCCUAACACAUGCAAGUCGAACGAAGCCUUCGGGCUUAGUGGCGCACGGGUGCGUAACGCGUGGGAAUCUGCCCUUGGGUUCGGAAUAACAGUUAGAAAUGACUGCUAAUACCGAACGAUGUCUUCGGACCAAAGAUUUAUCGCCCAAGGAUGAGCCCGCGUCGGAUUAGCUAGUUGGUGAGGUAAAGGCUCACCAAGGCGACGAUCCGUAGCUGGUCUGAGAGGAUGAUCAGCCACACUGGGACUGAGACACGGCCCAGACUCCUACGGGAGGCAGCAGUGGGGAAUCUUGGACAAUGGGCGCAAGCCUGAUCCAGCCAUGCCGCGUGAGUGAAGAAGGCCUUAGGGUUGUAAAACUCUUUCGCCGGUGAAGAUAAUGACGGUAACCGGAGAAGAAGCCCCGGCUAACUUCGUGCCAGCAGCCGCGGUAAU
rnacentral:rRNA from 1 species